UACGGAGGAUCCAAGCGUUAUCCGGAUUUAUUGGGUUUAAAGGGUGCGUAGGCGGAAUAGUAAGUCAGUGGUGAAAGCCUGUCGCUAACGACAGAACUGCCAUUGAUACUGCUAAUCUUGAGUAUAAUUGAAGUGGGCGGAAUGUGUCGUGUAGCGGUGAAAUGCUUAGAUAUGACACAGAACACCGAUUGCGAAGGCAGCUCACUAAACUAUAACUGA
rnacentral:rRNA from 1 species